UGCUUGUGUAGGACAGCAAAAAGGUUGAAGACACUGAAACCUUUGGAACUGUUGUGUUUAUGACAGCAUCAAAGCAGAGAAUCACAAAUUUGACUCACGGCUGCAGCAGCUCAGCCUGUAUUCAGAGACUCCCAUGGUACCAGGCUUUCUGAGGCAGGAAACAUCUACCCUUACCAAGCAAGUCACAUCAGCAUCAAAAGCCUGGUGAUGCCAGGCCAGAGCGUAUCACUCAGUGCACCUGAAGCACAAAGCCUGUCCACAGAGAGACUGGUCACAAGGUGAUCACAGCUGGCCAUAGGCUUCUGCUUCAUCUCCUAGGACAUCUGUGCCAAGCCAUGCCAGCUGAUGUUACAGACUCUCUCAAAAAAGACAUGCAGGCAACAAAUACAAAUUCAUAAGGAAAAGGCAGAAGAAGCCAGAAUGCUGCAAUUCAAAGGAAGGGAAGACAUGGGGAGAAAGGACACAGAAGCACAGACUGUCACUGGAAUGAUGAUGGGAGCACAUAACUGACCGUGCCUGUCAAAUCAGGAUCACAUCAAGCUGCAGUAAAAAACGGGAUACCUGAAAUUGAAUCUGAAAUCAGCAUCACUGCAUCACUGCCAAGCUAACAUUACCCAGGAUUAAGCUGUGAGCAGCUGGAGACCAGGCAGCCUUUUAGGUGAGAUGGGAGACGCAACCUGAGGGGUGUGUGAGCUGAGCAAAGAGCACUGGUUACCUGGGGGAAUGUCCCAGAUGUCUGUCUUUAUUACUCUAAAACCUCUACUGACACAGAAAUGAGUAGCUUCUGGAAAUCACAGGAAGAGCAGAAUAAGAGAGUGGGUGAGAAGCCAACAUGUGUCACAGCAUAUAAAUAAAUAGAAACAAACUUAUGUGAUUAAUGAAUCAAAACAAUGUACAGUGUUAUCUAAAUUUUAAAAAACCAGAAGUAAUAACCUGGUACUUCCAAAAACCACUAAAAAUUACAGCUUUGUCUCUUGGCGAAAAAAUAAAAAUACAAAACAACCACACCUUCCCUUUCUGAUAAGCCUAGGGUGCUGAAGGACUCAGAUGAAAUUUUAUGGAUUUGUCAUCCUAAGAAAGGUAACUUCACCAUGGACAGACAACAGGGAGAGCAACAUUUCCUGGCUGAAACAAGGCUGGGAAGUAGCAUGCUGCUGAAGCUAAGGAUUUUUGAUAGAAAGUAAAGAAAAAAAAAAUGUAAUAAAAGGAGGGCCAGAGGGGAGGGCAGGGAGAACCACAGAUCAAAAAGCAAAUUAGCAGAAUAAAUGUAAAUAUUAACAUAACAAUGCCAAUCUAAAUGAGACGCAGAGCAAAUGACCUCUCUGAUUAAUAACAACAUCUUCAGUUUCUCAGAACAGACGCUGAAUUAAAAGAAAAAUCAUAUUCUUAGUCACCCUCUGAAAACCACAAACUGACAUCAGUUUUCAAAUCCAAUUAGCCAUAAGUUUGUUACUUAUGGACAGAUAGCUCUGCCUUGCCAACUUCACAUUUCCAGCCAUGGCUCAGGGUACUAUGCGUGAAUCCAAAAGAAGCACAUCUUCCUUUCUGGUCAUCUUCUGUGGCACAGUUCAGUAACAACCCCUCUCCCCUCACACCUGGCAGCCCUGCCAAGCCAUGCCCUACUUUGGCCCUUCCCAUGUGUUUUAUCAUGCCUCUCCCUUUUUCCUUCUACAGCUGUUUGCAGCCCCUUCCUGUGCACCCCCAGCCAUCCCACAAUGAACACCCACGUUGCCCAGCCCAAGCUGCAGGCUUGGGAUCACUCACCUCCCAGCCUACAACCCACUGGCACUAAGGAUGUGUGGCACUGUCCCACUCACUCUGAUGAUCACUGCUCUUUCCCUUAGAAAAUGACACAGAGAAGAAAGGGUAAAGAGAAAACAAAAUUCCAGUGGGAUUAUUGCCAAGGCCUCCAAGCCCUCCAAGAUGCAUUCCACACAGCCUUCAAGAAAGCCUGUUCUCUGUAGAACAGCUCUGUGACACGAAACACAGACAUCAAAAGAAGAAUUGCUGUGGUACAGACUGGUUCAGCUCACAGCCAUCACAGCCACAGACAGGAGUAAACAGUUUCCUAAUGUUAUUAAUUUUGGUAUUAGCAUGUAAAUUUUUACUCUCAUUAUCCCCAAUAAUUUGCAAUCAGACUCCAUUUGCAAAUCCCUAAUCAAGUAAGCUCUUGACUCCUUCCUAACCACCCAUCGGGAUACAAGUAAUGUGUACUUCAGUAAAGGACAGCUGCACGUGCCUAUGACAUGGAUAGAAAUCCAUCACUGGAUUCCAAGAUGAUCCCUAGCACCUGUUUAUCCAAUUCACUUCUCUCCUGUAAAAUCCCUCUCUUCCUCCUACUAGCUGUUUCCCUUCACUCAUUGCCCACAAAGAUGAUCCACAGCCCAGCCAGACUGCUGCUUUUCCUUGCCAGUCACCCAGCAGAGCCCACCUCCCACCUCACCUCCCCGUUCCCUUUCACAAGUGAAAGCACAGAAAGAGAGCAGCCAACAAGCCGCUCUUUAGACCAUAAGCCUGACCAAAGCUGACACACACUGAUUUCUUCCACAGCAAAUCUGUGUACUCACCACAACCUAAUGCACAGUUAUAUCCUUCCU